GCAUCAUUGUCUAUGAUAUCUGCAAUGGAAAUGAUCACUAGGCAAUUUCAGCCUUGCAAAUCUAACGCUUUACCUAUCCUGCAAAUGCCUCAGAAUCACCUACCAAAAUAAAAGAUGGUAGGUUGCAUUUUAAAGUAGUUCUCCUUCUACAGUAUGAACAGUGACGGACAGGCUGAGAGUGGAGAGACUUUCCCUCGGACCCUUGCCUCAGUAACUUUUAAUACAUGUAAGAUGGAUCAUCUGACUGGACUUUCUGAAACAAUAACAUCGGAAAGUUAAUCAGAGUUGGCGUUCUGGGAAUUCAAGGGCAGAGAUAAGUGCUUCCUCCGGAUACUUCACUGUAUUUCAGCAAAUGAGCUGAGGAAAGAAGUCAAACAAAACUUCAUCACGAAAUAGAAGACUGUUGAUUUUCAAUAUGUCUUCCUUGGCCUCUAUGUAGCACUCCCUUGCUGUCUGUUCUGUUGACGUCUAUGGCUUCCACCCAAGGGAGGACGGCAUUAUAGUGGGUGAAUCCAGCACACCCCAAACUGCCCCUGCUCCCCUCUCCCCCGGGCACGUGGGCCCUUGAAGGCAG
rnacentral:antisense_RNA from 1 species